UUCACGCUCAACUUCUUCUCUGCCUAUGAGAGGUUCUUCAUUUCCCUACCUAAGUAGUUCUCUGCCUAUUAGAUUCAUCACUAAAAAGUAUUGGAUCGUGUUGAAGAAGAAGUUAACGCACUACCUGAUUGCUGCAACCAUUUCCAGGGAAGAAGUUUUGAAUUCCACUUUCAAUCAGAUGGCUUCAAGCUCUUCUAUUCCUGUUAACAAUCUUGAUGAGAGCAUUGGUACAGCUACCCCGGCAACCGUAGAGAGCAUAACUACAGUUACAGUGACAGCUGGCUAUGCAAGUAUAAGAUCUUGUUCAAGAUAGCUCGAGACCUGCUGGCUAUGAAAGUACCAACAGUAGCUUCUGAAUCAUAUUUCUCCACGGGUGGUCGUGUUCUUAAUGAGUAUCGAAGUUCCAUGCUGCCAAAAACAGUGCAAGCACUGAUCUGUGCUGAAGAAACAAACCAAUCAAUCUCGAGGAGAUGCUUGAAGGGAUUUAAAAAAUUGACUUAGAUGUGGAAGAAAUGUUGAAGAAAAUUCCGGAUUGAAUGAACUAGUAAUCAAAUCCAAAGACUCUUUUUUGGCAGCAGAAGUUCCAUUGGCAUGGCACCAUAUCGUCGUUGCAUUUGAUAGUUUACUUUCCGUUGUUGUAAAAUUUAGUACUUUUUUGUUUCCCUAAAAAAGAACACAAUACUCUUUUGUGUUAACUGUUGACUAUUUUUUAUGUCAAAUUUCAGUUCUGAACU